rnacentral:rRNA from 1 species
GACGAACACUGGCGGCGUGCCUAAUACAUGCAAGUCGAGCGGAAGUUGGAGAGCUUGCUCUUCAACUUUAGCGGCGGACGGGUGAGUAACACGUGGGCAACCUGCCCUGCAGAUCGGGAUAACUCCGGGAAACCGGUGCUAAUACCGAAUAGUUUUCGCCACCUCCUGGUGGCGUACGGAAAGACGGUUUCGGCUGUCACUGCAGGCUGGGCACGCGGCGCAUUAGCUAGUUGGUGGGGUAACGGCCCACCAAGGCGACGAUGCGUAGCCGACCUGAGAGGGUGAUCGGCCACACUGGGACUGAGACACGGCCCAGACUCCUACGGGGGGCAGCAGUAGGGAAUCUUCCGCAAUGGACGAAAGUCUGACGGAGCAACGCCGCGUGAGUGACGAAGGUUUUCGGAUCGUAAAACUCUGUUGUGAGGGAAGAACAAGUACCAAUUAACUACUGGUACCUUGACGGUACCUCACCAGAAAGCCACGGCUAACUACGUGCCAGCAGCCGCCGCAGUAA